rnacentral:rRNA from 1 species
GACGAACGCUGGCGGCGCGCUUAACACAUGCAAGUCGAACGGAAAGGCCUGCUUUCCCUUGUGGAUUGCGGGUACUCGAGUGGCGAACGGGUGAGUAACACGUGAGUGAUCUGCCCCCAACUUGGGCAUAAGCCUGGGAAACUGGGUCUAAUUCCCGAUAGGACUGCAGGGUGGUGCCUGUGGUGGAAAACGAUUUUCUAGUGGUUGGGGAUGAGCUCGCGGCCUAUCAGCUUGUUGGUGGGGUAAUGGCCUACCAAGGCGGCGACGGGUAGCCGGCCUGGGAGGGUGGACGGCCACAUUGGGACUGAGAUACGGCCCAGACUCCUACGGGAGGCAGCAGUGGGGAAUAUUGCACAAUGGGCGGAAGCCUGAUGCAGCGACGCCGCGUGGGGGAUGACGGCCUUCGGGUUGUAAACUCCUUUCGACCGCGAGGAAGCCACCUGGUUGGAAGGGUGGUGACGGUAGUGGUAGAAGAAGCACCGGCUAACUACGUG